AAGAUUAAAAAAAAUCUGGGUUGGAAACUAGCUGUCGCCCCCUAAAUUCGAUUUGAUACGUGGCGCACCCCAAGCUGCAACACGUUCUGUCGUUCUCGCUUGAGGCGGCCCGCGGCCUUCUCGAAGCCCUCCGCUCGCUCCGUGCUCGUGGCUCCCGCACGAUCCCCACAUUCCUUGGCCGGCUCCGCGCUCGUGCUCUCGUUGGGAUCGUUGUCAGUUCAGGUACGGUGGCGAUGAGGUCGUCCGUGGCCCGCCUGAUUCGCUCCUCCUCUGCCUCGCCCUCCCGUCUCAGUGGAAAUGCAUUCUUCGGCAAUGCCACACCCAGUGAUCAGAGGCACAUUGAGAAGCCUUUUAAAGUGAAGGAGGCAGAACCUGUGAAUGUGACAAAACCUUCACCACACAAGCUGCUGGUUCUAGGAGGAAGUGGUUUCGUUGGAUCACACGUUUGCAAAGAGGCUUUGGACAAAGGUUUAGUUGUCUCUAGUCUUAAUAGAUCGGGAAAGCCAUCCUUAAAUGAACCUUGGGCUGACAAAGUUAUAUGGAACCAAGGCAACCUCCUUGAACCAGCUUCAUUGAAGGAUGCUAUGGAUAAUGUUUCUGCAGUGGUAUCUUGUGUCGGAGGUUUUGGAUCAAAUUCAUUCAUGUAUAAGAUUAAUGGGACUGCAAACAUCAAUGCCAUCAGGGCUGCAGCUGAGAAAGGUGUAAAGAGAUUUGUAUAUGUGUCAGCUGCAGACUUUGGAUUAGUGAAUUAUUUAUUGCAAGGCUAUUACGAGGGCAAGAGGGCUUCUGAAGCUGAAUUGUUGUCAAAGUUUACAUAUGGAGUCCUGGACUCCUAAUUGCCGGCGGCUACAGCACCCUGCGUCCCCUGCCCCUUCUCCUGCAGUCCUGCUCGCCUGCUGCACUGCUGCAGUCUCCAACCGGCGGUGGCUGCGAACCAGUGACGAGAUGAGCACGUCAUCUGAAGGAGUGAUACUGAGGCCUGGUUUUAUUCAUGGAACUCGUCGAGUGGGCAGUGUAAAGAUACCUCUUGGUCUUGUCGGUUCUCCUAUGCAGAUGGUGCUCCAAAAUAUAAAACCUUUGACUAGGUUACCACUUAUCGGGCCGCUAUUGACUCCUCCCGUCAGUGCUGCCUCCGUGGGGAAGGUCGCUGUGAGAGCAGCGACGGAUCCGGUGUUUCCUCCUGGCAUCGUUGAUGUCUACGGGAUCAUGCGUUACAGCGAGCAAAACUAAGCUGCCUCAUUCACCGGGCAGUAUAUACAUGCCGCUGUACUUUUGUUACAGCUGUUUCUUUGUUUGUUUUACAUGUACUGGUAUCCUUCUUUAACUCACUUGUUUACGAGACGAUAAACAUUCAAUAAAUAUGUAUUUUAGCGACA